AUUGAACGCUGGCGGCAGGCCUAACACAUGCAAGUCGAGCGAGCGGCGGACGGGUGAGUAAUGUCUGGGAAACUGCCUGACGGUGGGGGAUAACUACUGGAAACGGUAGCUAAUUCCGCAUAAUAUCAGCUGUGCCCAGAUGGGAUUAGCUAGGGGUUGGGGUAACGGAUCACCUAGGCGACGAUCCCUAGCUGGUCUGAGAGGAUGACCAGUCACACUGGAACGGAGAUACUGUCCAGACUCCUACGGUAGGCAGCAGUGGGGUAUAUUGCACAAUGGGCGAAAGCCGGAUGCAGCCAUGCCGCGUGUGUGAAGAGGGCCUUCGGGUUGUAAAGCACUUUCAGCGGGGAGGCGUUACCCGAAGAAGAAGCACCGGCUAACUCCGUGCCAGCAGCCGCGGUAAUUC
rnacentral:rRNA from 1 species